rnacentral:rRNA from 1 species
UGGAUGAUGUGGAUUAAUUCGAUGCAACGCGAAGAACCUUACUACCCUUGACAUGCCCGGAACUUGCCAGAGAUGGCUUGGUGCCCGAAAGGGAAUCGGAACACAGGUGCUGCAUGGCUGUCGUCAGCUCGUGUCGUGAGAUGUUGGGUUAAGUCCCGCAACGAGCGCAACCCUUAUCAUUAGUUGCUACGCAAAGGCACUCUAAUGAGACUGCCGGUGACAAACCGGAGGAAGGUGGGGAUGACGUCAAGUCCUCAUGGCCCUUAUGGGUAGGGCUUCACACGUCAUACAAUGGUCGGUACAGAGGGUUGCCAAGCCGCGAGGCGGAGCCAAUCCCACAAAGCCGAUCGUAGUCCGGAUUGUUCUCUGCAACUCGAGAGCAUGAAGUCGGAAUCGCUAGUAAUCGCAGGUCAGCAUACUGCGGUGAAUACGUUCCCGGGUCUU